UGGGCGUGGGCUCGGUGCUCUCCCUGGGCAUGUUGAUGGACAUGCAAUUAACCCGCCUGUGGUUAUGUUGGCAAUUGAACUGGAACAGGAAGUUAGCACAGGAACCAGGGCCUUUCAAGUGUUGACAAAUUCACGGAGCCUCUGCACCUGCGGGCGGGGAGCUGUGCUCCUGCCUCCACGAGGGAGCCAAGGAGCGGCAUGUCUGCUCCAGCCUGGGAGGACUGGCCCUUUCCCUGAGCCCCAGGGCCCAACAGCCACACCUGGGCAGAAGCUGAGGCCUGUCCAGUGUUGACCCUGAUGCUGGGCUCAGUCUGAUGCUGCAAAACCCUGAUGAGGAUGCCGGCCCUGCCCUGGCAGGAGCGAGUCGUGGGACCCGUGCUCUUCGGGAAUGGCGGUGCCUCGCAAGCCCACCUGCAGCCUGGGGAGUCUGAAACAGGGCCUGGGCGUGUGGGACCAGGAGCACCCUCCACGAUCCCCCCUGGACAGGCUUCCUCCUGAAUUCCAAACCACUGACCCCAACUGUCGAAUCAGUGUGGAACAAAAUAUUGGAAGGACAAAGUCACAAACGAAGAUUUGACUUCUAGGUCAUAGCACGGGAGAGAAGCAUGGAAACAGACGAACACAGGGGCCGGGCCGGGCCCUGGGCCCACAGGAGAACUCGGGUCUGUGGCGCAGGGUGGUGUCCUACAACAGCAAGGUCUGACUCUGAUGGUCCUGCUGCCGAGUCUGGGGGAUCUGGUCCGUGCUGUAGGAGACCCACCGUCUCAGGGCACAAUGGGCUCUUGUCAGCAACGUGCUCUCAAGUGGGUCAGAAAACAGGGUGAUAAGGUGCGCUGCAGCGUGGCACGUGGGGUGCAGAGGCUCCUUUCACGGCUCCAGCCAACUUUCCAUACGUUGGAAGUUAUACAAAAGAGUAAAGCUAAAAACAAAACCUGGAUCAGAACAUGAAAAGGUGAGCCACAGACUAGGAGAAGGUACCCAGAAACCACACUCCAGACCAGGGGCGAGGGUCCGAGAUACACGGGAAACUCUUAAAGCUCCAGGAUAGGCUGGGCCGUGGCUCAGCGGUGGAGCGCUUGCCUAACACGUGUGACGCCCUGGGUUCCAUCCUCAGCACCACAGAAAGAUAAAUGAAUAAAAUAAAGGUAUUGUGUCCAUCUACGACUAUCAAAAAAAAACCCCUCCAUGGUAAAAAAGCAAGCAAUUCGGUUAGAAAAUGAGCAAAGACACGAGCAAACAUUUCAUUAGAGAGGUUAUACAGAUUGCAAAUAAGCACUUGAAAGGAUGUUCAGCAUCAUCAGUUGUCAGAAAAGUGGAAAUGGAAACCACAGCACCAUGUCAGCACACACCCAUCAGAACGGCUAAAAUAAAAAUAGUCGCAAAACCCAUUGCUUUGGAGGAUGUGGAGAAACGGAACCAUUCAUGCACUUCUGGUAGGUAGGUAACCUGAUCCCAUCUCUCCAGAAAAGGGUUUAGCAGCUUCCUAAAAAAAAUAAGCACAACCACCAAACAACCUCACAAUCACAUUCUUGGGAAUUUAUCCCAGAGAAGUGAAGUUCACACAAAAUCCCAAACAAGAAUGUCCAUGGCGGCUUCACAACAGCUGGACCUGGGGAACAACCCAGACGGCCUUCUGUGGGUGGACGGUGGAGGAACCUCCCCGGCUCAAGGCUGCUCAGCCAGGGGAAGGAGCCAGCGUGGCCCAGGGGAAGGAAGCUGGGUUUGGUGGCACAGGCCUGUCAUCCCAGCAACUCGGGAGGCUGAGGCAGGAGG